CCUUUCUUGGAUAGGAGUAUCCUUUAAAACAAACUUAGAAUUAUCUACUUCCUCAUGUUGGCCAUCAUGUAGAAGAAAACCUAGAACAUCCAACUCUGCAUCUAUGAAAGACUAAUGAAUUUUAGAUGUUUCAUCCUCUUGAAAGCAUUCUGGGUAAAUGGAGCUCUUCUUCUUCUUCGAGUGUGUAAUGAACAGUCUCAGACUUAAUUUUGUAUACAACCCAUCAUUCUUUUCUUCCUCUCUCCCUUGAUGGGAAUGAAGUAUAAUACACUUAAACAGCUUGUUGGGCUAGCACAAAGGGAUCAUUAACAUAUGCUUUUGAUCUAUGUUUGAUUUCAAUAACUCCAUACCAUGGAUCAACCUUCAU
rnacentral:lncRNA from 1 species